AACGCACCUUGCGCUCCUUGGUAUUCCGAGGAGCAUGCCUGUUUGAGUGUCAUUAAAUUCUCAAUCUCUACAGCUUUUGUUGUUUAGUAGAUUGGAUGUGGAGGUUCUUUGUGUGGGAUGAAAAUCCCUCACUCCUCUUAAAUGUAUUAGCUGGAAUGCCUCUGCAUAUCUGACUAUCAGUGUGAUAAUUAUCUAUACUGUAGUUGUUGCAUGAGGGUAUCUGCUUCAUUAACCGUCGCAAGACAAAUCUAAUGACCAUCUUGACCUCAAAUCAGGUAGGACUACCCGCUGAACUUAA
rnacentral:misc_RNA from 1 species